GGUACGGAAGCGAUGCAGAGCAGCUGGGCAGAGGUGAGGCCAAUCUCUGCACUGGGUUUAACGGGACCCAGUUUAGUCUGGGAGUGGAGAGCAUGCCAUGCCCACGGGCCAUCCAGAUGGGGGUCCAGGAGGCAGGGCGGACUAUCCACGAUCAGGAGACGGAUCUGGGAGGAAGGUGUGGAUCUAGGGGAUAGCCAGCACCCGGCAGUUUAUAAAGCAUUUUCUCAUACCCCUUAGUUUAAUAUGGGCACCAACUGAUCAGAAGGGUCACCGGAGAUCCUCUAUGGAGCUAGAAGUUAACCCUUCCAUUGCUGAAUCGUGCUGGGCGUGGUGAUGUGUUGGAUGGAAGGGGCACUCAGGGGGCUCUGAGCACCAGCGACUUACCAAGCAGUAAGUUAGAAUCUUUGCAUGCCAGCUGAAUAUCUGGUUCCUCACAUGAUCCUCAGAGGAAUCUGCUGAGGCAGAUACUAUAAUCCCUUCUUAAAAAGAGGAAACCAGGGCUCAGUGAGGGGAAUGGCUUGCCAGGAAUCGGACAGCUCCUAAGCGGGAGGGCUGGAGUUGAACCCAGGUCCAUCGGAUCCCGCAUCCUACAUCUGUAGUUGCUGGAGUGGGCAUCAGAGCCUGAAGCUCUUGGCUCUGAGUCAGGGCUCUCUUCCCAUUGUUCAGAUGGCCACUUCCUGUAGUGAAUUCCAGAACUUCUCAUCAUAAGCCAGUAGUUCCUUCCAAGAAAUGGUGCUGAGAAUGUCCAGGCCUGUGGGGGAGGUGGGGUGGGAUGGGAAAAUCUAGCACCAGGCACGGGGGAUUUUCCAGACCUGGGGAUCCCCCAGCUCCUGGUUUGAAGCCCAGGCAUGUGUGGGAAGGUUUGUGGCCUCUCCAGUGGAUAGCGCCUCCCCGGGGGCGGAAGGAGACCUGGGUGGCCGGCCAUGCCUGCCUUGGCUCGGGCCUACCACUUCGAGCCUGUUUCCUUCAGGGAAAUGGGCUACCUGGGAAGCAGUGAGCCUGGUUCCUGAAAAUGCUUCUGUAGAGCCUGGCUGUUCACUCAUUUGUUCAUCCAUUCAUUUAACACUGAGCAACUGUUUAGGGAGUGCUUGCCACAUGCUCCGUGUCACUUGGGUCCUGCCUCACCUGGGUCUAGCCUUAGCCUGUGUCCAGGCUGGUAGAGAAGUUGUGUGCUUGACCCAGUGACGCAGACUGGGGAGUGGACAGGGGAGGGAUGCUCUGGUGGUCCCUGCGUCCCCUGGGCCAGCACAUGGAGAUGCGACCGAGGGCUAUUGAUUGAUGGGUCAAGGGAGGAAGGGCUGAGGCUGGACAAAAGGGAGGCUUCCUGGCUGGCAUGAGGGAAAGCCCUACAGGGGAUGAGAGUUGGGGUGGCGUCUCUAUCCUUGGGGGGCAGCCUCUGCCCUCAGGGUCUGACAGCCACCCAUUUAGAGGCAGGAGGCUGAACUCAGAGACGAGGGGCCUUCCCAGAUCUGGAAUCUUCAGUUCUGCUAUGGCUCCAGGUGGCCUCCAGCUGCCCAAAGGACAUUCUGGCAAUUUGCUCAGCUAUGACCCAGAACACACUGAACUGUCUUGCUAAAUCCUGCUCAGGGAGGAGGCGGGGAGUGGAGGAGGGAGUUUCUACCCGCAGUGCUCUGGUCUCCUGUUCCUGACGCCUGAAGUCCCAGGCACGGCUUCAUAGGGUUGCACGGUGUCAGGUGUUUGAAAACAUGACCUGGUAAGUUUUUCUUUUAACUUUUCCCAUUUCCCCGUGAAAAUGAUUUUAGAAGCCAGCUCCUUACUCUUCCCCCCUCUCUCAGUCACGAUCUCAUCCUCAUCCUCACGGGGCCGUGGUACUCAGCAGGGAGGAUAGGUUCCCCUGUGACCUCCCACAGAGGACGUGACUGCAUGAGGAGGGGAAGACGUCGAGGAGACCAAGCUCCAGGGAGCACCUACUAUGUUCCAGGGCUUAUGCAAUGUGCUUUGCUUAUCAGCUUCCUUUUUUUGGAGGAGGAGACCGAGAGAGAAAGGCAUAUGUGCAAGAGCACACAGUUGAUAAUAAUUACACUAAGACCAAUAAAAAUGAUAAUUAUGAGUGAAACCAUCAUUUGAAAAUCUGACAGUUUCUUACAUUCAACCUAACACAUUUUAUUCAGGCACAAAGCCGGAGAUUCUCUCUAUAUAUUCUUGCAGGAGGAAACUCUCUGAUUUCAAAGCUGAGGAAAUUGAGGCCAAGAGAGAUCAGGUGACUUGCCAACAUCUCCCAGCAAGCCAGCCGUGGGGCCAGGCUUUGAACUCAGGUCACUUUCCAAAGCCCCUCAAUUCCCUGGCCCCAAGCCAUGACCCACUUUGUCUCCUUUCCUGAAACUCUCGCUGACUCAGGCGAUGGAAAGACACUGGCCUGGUAGUUGGAAAACUGGGUUGGAACAGGCUCUGCCCCAAAGUGGUAGGUGGCCUUGGGCAGGUCUCUCCCCUCUCUGGGACUCACGGUCCACAUCUGAAAAAUGUGGGUUUGAGUUCAUCCAUUUCCCACUGUGACCAUCUCUGGAUGUGUGUCAUGCGUUUGGAAGGCUGGGACCUCGUCUGCCUCAUUUGGACCCCCAGUGCCUGGGGUGGCCCUUUACUGAGGGGACCUCUGUGAACUUUCACUGACCGUGGGGGCCGGAGGGAGCGAGUGUGGCUGCGCUGGGGGUGGGCGGCUUGCAGGUACCACGGGAGGGGCAGGGAGUUCAGGGCUGCUCCUUGUGGAGUAGAAGGCUGCCCGCCUGGUGACAGGGCCAUUCCUCCCUUCUUCUAAAGAUUUUAGGCUUCUAAAGAGGGAGAUUCUGGGGACUCCUCUCAGUCUUGCUGGGGGGCUCAUAGCCUGAGAUGCCCCUCACCACAAAGGCUUGUGGCUCUUGAACUUUACUGGGCCUCCUGAAAGGUAGGGGGUGGGAAGCUUGCUAAGGGGCUGCUGUGUCUAGAGCUGAACUGCUACAGUCAUUGAGGUCACCCAGUAGUCAGCCAUGCCCCCCACUCCCACGCCAGAGAAAGCGGAGCAAGACCAUGGGAACGCCGAGCAGGAGACAGACAGAGCUGUCUGUCUGCCCACCUCAAAUAACCACCCACCCAGCUCUGGGAGAAGAGCGAGAACAACACCAGUGCUUUCCACAGCCAGGCUUGGGGGAGGGAGGGAAGUCUUUCCCCCCCAACCCCAGGAAAGAACUCACAGAUGUUUUGCACCACCUGUGUUGACCUCAUUCAUGAACUUCACGUGGGUCAAGUUGAGGGAGGCAGUGUGGGCCUUCAUCUUACCAUCUGACUGGCCAACCAGAGCAGCAGUGGUGACCAUUUACUGGGCACUUACGGUGUGCCAAGCAAGAUGCUUAAUUCUUUGCAUUUAUUAUCACAUUUGAUCCUCAUGGCAGUUCUGUAAGUCACUAUUUUUAUUCCCAUAUUACAGCUGAGAAAACAAAAUCUUAGAGACAUUAUAUAACUUGUUCAAGUUCACACAUCUAGUAAGUAGUAAAGCUAGUAUACAAAUCCAGGCUAUAAGACUUGGGCUCUUAACUACUCCAUUAUGCUAGUUUUAUCCACCCAUCUCUCCAUCCACCCAUCCAUCCAUCCAUCCAUCCAUUCAUCCAUCCAUCCAUCCAUCCAUCCAUCCAACCAGUUACCCAUUUAUCAGACAGAAUCCCAGUAGAAAACAGAUUUACACUUAAAGUAGAGAGUUCAAGUUGGGCUUAAUAGGGGCGCCUGGGUGGCUCAGUCAUUAAUAGUCUGCCUUUGGCUCAGGUCAUGGUCCCAGGGUCCUGAGAUCAAGCCCCACGUCAGGCUCUCUGCUCAGCGGGAAGCCUGCUUCUCCCUCUCCCACUCCUCCUGCUUGUGUUCCCUCUCUCUCUGUCAAAAUAAAUAAAUAAAAUAUUUUUUUUUUAAAAAGGUGGGCUUAAUAAAGGGACUAUUUAUUAAGAUGAGGAGGUAUGGUUUGAAGGGAAACCACUCUAGUGUCCUAGAGUUAGGAAGAGCAAGGUUGAUAUUACCUAGAACCUGAAGGAAUGAGGAGAGGGAGACAUUGAUGGAACCUGGGGAGAGAGGACCUGAGAGGAGCAGUUCCCUUUGUCAAGAGAUAUGUCAGUCUGAGCUUCUUCCCUUCUUCUCUCUUCCUUUCGAUCUCCUGCCGGGCUUCCCUUCACUGACCCAACCAGAAACCAAAGGGCACUGCGGCCAGUUGAUGCAGUCCCUUCAGGUCAGCCUCUGGGACACAGAGCAGAUGUGGAAAUGUGGUGAGCAGAGCUGGAGGGACAAACGGAAGACGCGCAGCACACCAUCCAUCCAUCCACCCUCCACGUCUCUCCGGGCACUGUGCCAUGUCCCUCUCCGGGGACAUAUUGCUUAGCUCUGUACCUUUGAAGUGAUCCCUGCCUCCACCCUGGACCUGCCUCCUCAGCUGUCCUACAGUUCCCUGCCUCCUACAGGCUGCCAGGACCCACAGUGCUACAGUGUCCCAGCUGUGCUGUCCCCAGAGCUCUGACCAGGGAGGUCCCAGAACUCUGGCACCCCAGGGCCCUGAAUCAUCUGAGAGAACCUUCACCUGACCGGAGUUCUGUCCAGCAGCAGGAGAAGUGAAGCAUGGAGGUCACACCCCUGCACCCAGGAGCAUGGCUGAGGCAGCCAUCCCUCUCUCCAACCUGAGCCUUGUGUCACAGCUCUCCAAGAUUACACAGCAAAGACCAUCACUGGAGCUGUCCAUGUAAACGACCAAGCCUCUGACAGGAAAGGGAAGAGGGAGGUCCAAACAUGGAAACCAGAGGAAGGAGUGACCAGAACCCGAUGGACUGUUGACUCUGAGACAUCUGCACUUGGUCCUUCAUGUACAACUCAAGUUUCUCUUCACCACCACCCUGGCAGGUUAGAUUAUUACCCCACUUUUUUAUAAAGAAAAGAGGCCGAAUGACUUGCCCAAGGUCAUGCAGCCAGUAAAAAACUCCACCCUAUCACAGUGGCCCUUUUGUUCCCGAAUGCACAGCAGAACUCCUACUUCAGGAAGUGGAGAGGAAAGGGGUAGGUCUGGGCCUUCCCAGAGGAUGGAGUGGGGGUCAACAUGACUCCGAGAUUCAAAGAGCCUGGGUGCAGAGAUGGACUGGGUGGGGGUUAGAGCACGCAGAGGCUUUGGAGUCAGUGUCUGCAGCCUCCUGGCCGGUAUUCUUGGGCAGGUGAAUUUACUUCCCCUGGUCUCAGUUUUCUCGCCUGUAAAAUGGGGGUAAUGAUACGCUCCACUCUCUUCAGCAGAUCCCCUUGAAAGUUGAAAGAGAGGCUGUGAGGAAAGCACUUAGCACCGGGGCCCGGCUUGGUGCUCAUCUGUGGCUGUCAUCAUUAGUGCUGGGAGGGAGGUCCCCCGGGGUUGGCAUGAGUGCCGCACCUGGGGAAGGGAAAGGGCAGGGUGUCCCCAGGAAGGAGAGGACCUGGACAGGGACCCAGGCUGCUUUGCUUUGUUCUCAUUCUCAUCUCAAGAAGUGAUUCCCAUUUCUACCCCCUCUAGUAACCUUUAAGCUUCAGAUAAACAACGGAGCUGUUGAGAGAUUUGCCUGGCCCUUCAGGCUUAACCCCUUGGCACCAUCACCUUCUCCUCCUCAGCCUGGGCCCUGAGGACAACUACUGAAGCUCGGGAGGGUGCUGGGAAGAGGGGAGACAAAGGGAGGAGCAGACCGCACCUGCCCCUUGCCGGAGGCGGCACCCAGCCUCCAGGGGGAAUGAGUUCAGUAGGACGGAUGUCAAGCUUCCAGAUGCAGUGCUGAGCCCUUUAAGCCUGUUGCUUAUUUCUCCUGCUUCAUCGUGUGGCAGCCCAGUGUGCAGACUGGCGUGCACACCAGCACCACUGACCAUGCCCUCUGCCAGGUCCCCCGCACGCUCUCAUCAAAUUCAGUGGACACCUCUCGUUCGGUCCUAAUCAGCGGCCCUCUUGGUGUCUCCGGUGCUCUAGACCUGCCCUUCUUCCUCAGACCCUCCCCUUAGUGCCUAUGAUUUGUCCCCCUCCCCUGGCUGGCUCUUCCCUCUUUCCUAGGCUAUGACUUCUCGGUAGCCUGCGAAGACUUCUCUGUCUCCACGGCUCCCUCACCAUGGCUGUGUCCAGGGCCUGUCUCUGGUCCCAGUCCUUCUCCACAGCACACGUUCUCUGUCCUCCCUGCUCUGACCACUCCCUGAUCUCCCUCUCCGGCCGAGAUGGCAAUCUGCCCAGCUCCAUACCCACCAGCCACCAGCCUCAGGGCAGCUCCCCUGCGAUGUCCCUGCGCCCCUCACACUCCGCCUUUUCCGAGACGCGUUGCCUCAUCCUGCCUUUUCUUUGCUCAAAACUUUUCACCUACGAACACUCUGGAAAACUAUCUGGCACCACAUAUUAAAGCUGAGCCAGAUUCCACACUUUGAAAUAUUCCCCCAAAUGUGUACAUAUGGGCUCUAAAAGACACGCGCAGGAAGGUCCGCAGCGCUAUGCCAGAGCGCCCAGACCGAGACUGCGCACGCGCCCGGACCCGUGACCGCACGCGCCUGGACCCGAGUCUGCGCACGCGCCCGGACCCAAGACUGCGCACGCGCUUCGCUCAAGCUACCGCUAUAGCAGCUGUUCCAAUGACUCUCAGAGCCACCAGGGAGUUCAUACUGUGCGAUUCUACCUUCAUCAAGUUCAAACCCGGUGAGAUGAACCUAUGGUGCUGGAAGACGGGACAAGUGGUUAACCUUGGUGGGGGCGGGGGGGAGUGCAUAAUGACCGGAAGGGGCCUGGGAGUACCUCUGGGUAGUGAAAAUGUUCUGUAUUUUGCUUGGGAUGCCCGUUUACAUGGGUGUACUUCCUGUAAAAAUUCAUCGACAUGUACGCUUAAGAUAUGUGAAUCU